rnacentral:rRNA from 1 species
AGAGUUUGAUCCUGGCUCAGAGCGAACGCUGGCGGCGUGCUUAACACAUGCAAGUCGAGUGCGCGGUAGCAAUACUGGCGCACGGCGCACGGGUGCGUAACACGUGGGCAACCUGCCCUCCAAUGGGGGAUACCCCCGCGAAAGCGGGACUAAUACCGCAUGAUAUUCCGGGAACGCAUGUUCCUGGAUUCAAAGCUCGU